CGGACUGAUGGGAGCUUGCUCCCUGAAGUCAGCGGCGGACGGGUGAGUAACACGUGGGCAACCUGCCUGUAAGACUGGGAUAACUCCGGGAAACCGGGGCUAAUACCGGAUAAUUCUUUCCCUCACAUGAGGGAAAGCUGAAAGAUGGUUUCGGCUAUCACUUACAGAUGGGCCCGCGGCGCAUUAGCUAGUUGGUGAGGUAACGGCUCACCAAGGCGACGAUGCGUAGCCGACCUGAGAGGGUGAUCGGCCACACUGGGACUGAGACACGGCCCAGACUCCUACGGGAGGCAGCAGUAGGGAAUCUUCCGCAAUGGACGAAAGUCUGACGGAGCAACGCCGCGUGAGUGAUGAAGGUUUUCGGAUCGUAAAACUCUGUUGUUAGGGAAGAACAAGUACCGGAGUAACUGCCGGUACCUUGACGGUACCUAACCAGAAAGCCACGGCUAACUACGUGCCAGCAGCCGCGGUAAUACGUAGGUGGCAAGCGUUGUCCGGAAUUAUUGGGCGUAAAGCGCGCGCAGGCGGUUCCUUAAGUCUGAUGUGAAAGCCCCCGGCUCAACCGGGGAGGGUCAUUGGAAACUGGGGAACUUGAGUGCAGAAGAGAAGAGUGGAAUUCCACGUGUAGCGGUGAAAUGCGUAGAGAUGUGGAGGAACACCAGUGGCGAAGGCGACUCUUUGGUCUGUAACUG
rnacentral:rRNA from 2 species